rnacentral:rRNA from 1 species
CCCUUAGAUGUCCGGGGCCGCACGCGCGCUACACUGAAGGAAUCAGCGUGGCUCUGUCCCUGGUCCGAAAGGAUUGGGAAACCCGUUGAAUCUCCUUCGUGAUAGGGAUUGGGGCUUGGAACUGUUCCCCAUGAACGAGGAAUUCCCAGUAAGCGCAAGUCAUCAGCUUGCGUUGAUUACGUCCCUGCCCUUUGUACACACCGCCCGUCGCUCCUACCGAUUGAAUGGUCCGGUGAAGCGUUCGGACCGUGGCCUUUGGACGGUUCGCCGUCUGUUGGCUGCGGGAAGUUCGUUAAACCUUAUCAUUUAGAGGAAGGAGAAGUCGUAACA